rnacentral:tRNA from 2 species
GGGCGUAUGGUGUAGUGGGAGCACGUUCGCUUUGCAAUGCAUACAAACGCAUUACAAGCCUGCGAAAGGUCCGGGGUUCGAUCCCCCGUUCGUCCA